rnacentral:rRNA from 1 species
UACAGAGGGUGCGAGCGUUAAUCGGAAUUACUGGGCGUAAAGCGCACGUAGUCGGCUUUGCAAGUCGGGUGUGAAAUCCUCGGGCUCAACCUGGGAACUGCAUCCGAGACUGCAUUGCUAGAGUAUGGGAGAGGGAAGCGGAAUUUCUGGUGUAGCAGUGAAAUGCGUAGAUAUCAGAAGGAACAUCAGUGGCGAAGGCGGCUUCCUGGACCAAUACUGACGAUCAGGUGCGAAAGCGUGGGGAGCAAACAGG